rnacentral:rRNA from 1 species
CUUGAACGCUGGCGGCAGGCUUAACACAUGCAAGUCGAGCGGAGAGAGGUAGCUUGCUACUGAUCUUAGCGGCGGACGGGUGUGUAAUGCUUAUGAAUCUGCCUAUUAGUGGGGGACAACAUUUCGAAAGGAAUGCUAAUACCGCAUACGUCCUACGGGAGAAAGCAGGAGAUACUCGGACCUUGCCCUAAUAGAUGUGCCUAAGUCGGAUAAGCUAGUUGGUGGGGUAAAGGCCUACCAAGACGACGAUCUGUAGCGGGUCUGAGAGGAUGGUACGCCACACUGGGACUGAGACACGGCCCAGACUCCGACGGGAGGCAGCAGUGGGGAAUAUUGGACAAUGGGGGGAACCCUGAUCCAGCCAUGCCGCGUGUGUGAAGAAGGCCUUAUGGUUGUAAAGCACUUUAAGCGAGGAGGAGGCUACUCUAGUUAAUACCUAGGGAUAGUGGACGUUACUCGCAGAAUAAGCACCGGCUAACUCUGUGCCAGCCGCCGCGGUAA